CAUUCGAGCCCUAACACAAGAGUGUGCGUGAAUAUAGGUGAUUGUGUUUCAAAAAGGAGGGAGAAGGAGGCCUGAAUGCCUCUCAGAGUGCAUUGUGUCUGGGGCUAGUAGGGUUGCCCCUUGUUCUGUGAUGUCACAAUGCCCAAACACACGCACCAAGAAGUCAUCAAAGACAGCCCAACUCACAGCCCAUGAGGGACCCUGAGUACUGCCUCUGACCUCUCUAUGGCAAGCCAAAUGGCCAUGGGAAGACCCCAUGGAGUGUCAGAAUGAUGCCGUUGAGGGCAAGGAUUUUAGACCGGUCAUGGAUUCUGCCUGUGCACUGGGCUCUACCACUUUCUAGCUAUCUGGCUACUAGCAAGUUACCUUAACAAUCUAAGUUUCAACCUCCCCAUUCGUGAAAUGGAGAUGAUGUCUUAGUCAUAGAAGUAGCAAGUCUACUGCAUAUCAACAGUGUAGCACUGAGCCUGGCUCUUUAUAAGGAAACAGGCCGAGAGACGCAAGUCAAACAGCAAAGGAUGGUCUGCUGUCUGUCUGACUCCAAUGCCAAUGGUCUUUCCUCUAUAACCUAAAGCAAUAAAACCCCUGCAACAUCUA
rnacentral:lncRNA from 1 species